rnacentral:rRNA from 1 species
UUCGCAAUGCCCGAAAGGGUGACGAAGCGACGCCGCGUGUGGGAAGAAGGCCUUCGGGUUGUAAACCACUGUCGGGAGUUAAGAAAUGCAAGGAUAUUAAUAGUGUCUUUGUUUGACUAAGGCUCCGGAGGAAGCCACGGCUAACUCUGUGCCAGCAGCCGCGGUAAUACAGAGGCGGCAAGCGUUGUUCGGAAUUAUUGGGCGUAAAGAGCACGUAGGCGGCUAUGUAAGUCGGUUGUGAAAGCCUUCCGCUCAACGGAAGAACAGCAUCCGAUACUACAUGGCUUGAGUGCAGGAGGGGAGAGUGGAACUUCUGGUGGAGCGGUGAAAUGCGUAGAUAUCAGAAGGAACGCCGGCGGCGAAAGCGGCUCUCUGGCCCAUAACUGACGCUGAGUGUGCGAAAGCUAGGGGAGCAAACGGGAUUAGAUACCCCGGUAGUCCUAGCCGUAAACGAUGGGCACUAAGUAGAGGGGUUUU